GUGUGUGGAUGGUGUUCAGCACCAAGGACAGGUGUGUUUGUCUGUGUGUGGAUGGUGUUUAGCACCAAGGAUAGGUGUGUUUAUCU
rnacentral:pre_miRNA from 1 species